GUGGAACCUUUGAGCUGGGAUUCUUCAGUCCCAGCGAUUCCUCAAAUCGAUAUAUUGGGAUUUGGUACAAGCAAAUACUUCCACAUAUCAAAACAGUUGUAUGGGUAGCAAACAGAGAAAAACCACUCACGAAUACAUCUUCAGUACAACUGAAGGUCACCAAGCCUGGAAUACUUGCUCUUUUCAACGACAAGAAUGAAACUAUAUGGUUUACUAACACUUCAAGAUCAGUCCAAAAUCCAGUUGCAGUGCUUUUAGAUUCUGGUAAUCUUGUUGUAAAAGAUGCAAAUGAUAACAAUCCAGAAGAUUUCCUCUGGCAGAGCUUCAAUUUUCCGACUGAUACACACUUGCCUGAUAUGAAGCUUGGCAAGAAUUUUAAAACUGGCCAUGAGGUUUACCUUUCAGCAUGGAAGAGUGAUAAUGAUCCAGCUCCAGGAGAAUUCACUCGUAAUAUUGAUCCUACUGGAUAUCCACAGGUUCUCACCAAAAGUGGCACAGAUGUAUUAAACCGUAUAGGACCAUGGAAUGGUUUACGAUGGAGUGGGGCACCCAUACCACUACUAACACAAAGCAGACUUUAUACAUUUCAAUUUAUUUUCAAUGAGGAGGAGGUUUACUAUAUUUUUUCUCUCACUAAUUACAGCUCGGUUUUAUCAAGAAUAGUCAUCACUAGCAAUGGUGAUAUAGAACGCUUCAUGUGGGUGGAGCAGACAAAGAGAUGGCAUAGCCACUACAAGUUACCUGCGGAUAAUUGUGAUACAUAUAGCUUGUGUGGUGAGCAUGGGAGCUGUGACUUAGGUACUCAACCUAUUUGUGGAUGUUUGGAGAAGUUUGUACCUAAAAAUCUACAAUAAUGGGAAAAGGGAGAUUGGACAACAGGGUGUGUUCGGAGGACACCCUUAGAUUGCAAAAGGGUACAUGUAUUUAUAAGAUAUCCUGGAAUCAAGUUGCCAGAUACUAAGCACUCUCAGCACUAUAAAACCAUGACACUCGAAGGGUGUAAGCAAGUAUGCUCCACGAACUGCAACUGCACAGCUUAUUCAAGUCUAGAUAUAAGUAACGGAGACAAAGGUUGCUUAUUAUGGUUUGGGGAAUUGGUUGACAUCAGAAAGCUGUCAGAAAGAGGACAAGACAUUUUCAUCAAGAUGGAUUCUUCAGAGGAAGGUAACCUUCUUAUUUUUUUUCAAUUGAGGAAGGUAAGAACUUGUUUAAGAAAUUUCCCAUGUGUUUCUUAACUCUCUUUUUUCAACAAAUAGAGAUGAUAUAAUGCAAAGUUAGUGACCUGUCUUGAUUUGCGGUGGUUGACUUAAAAAAUUAAUUGUAGAAUCUGAGGCAGGUUCGAAAAGAAAGAAGGCAAUGAUACUUGCACUGAGUUUCUCAUUGUUGAUGGCAACGAUUCUGCUAAUCCUGAUUUUGUUGUGGUACAAGCGCAAAAAGAAGAAACUGAAACUCAGAGAAGAUUUUGAACUGCCACUGUUCCCAUUGUCUACAAUAACAAGAGCCACAAAUAACUUUUCGCUCAACAACAAGAUUGGAGAGGGUGGAUUUGGACCUGUUUACAAGGUAUACAGUGUAAAUUUGUUGGAACGGUAACUAGUUUAUGCUAGAAAUGAUUUUAUUCUGCAAUAUUCUAGUCUUUGUAAAAUCUAUGUUCUGCUAUUAUACAUUUGCCAUUUCUAGGGAGUACUGGAAGAGGGACAAGAAAUUGCCGUGAAGAGACUGUCGAGGACUUCCAUGCAAGGAAUUGACGAAUACAAGAACGAAGUUAUCUAUAUUGCCAAGCUUCAGCAUAGAAAUCUUGUGAGACUUCUGGGUUGCUGCAUCCAAGGAGAAGAAAAGAUGUUGAUCUAUGAAUACAUGCCUACCAACAGCCUAGAUUCAUACAUAUUUGGUUUGGAUUUCUAACCUAUUGUACAAGCUAAAAUGAGUAAUAAUUUGAUCUAGUAGUCAUAACAUGAAAAAAUAUGCUCACAAGAAAGCUUAUUUUGCAGACCAAACAAAGAACAAAUUACUUGAUUGGCCAAAGCGUUUCAACAUCAUCAAUGGAAUUGCUCGUGGCUUAUUGUAUCUCCAUCAAGAUUCACGACUACGGAUUAUUCAUAGAGACCUUAAAGCAAGCAAUGUUUUGCUAGAUACAGAAAUGAAUCCAAAGAUAUCAGACUUUGGCAUGGCCAGAAGUGUUACAGGAAAUGAGAUGGGAGCAAAAACACGCAAUGUGGUUGGGACACAGUAAGAAUCUCUAAUAUCAUGCAAUGUACUCUCAUAUGAUAUCUUUGCUUCUUUAAUUCUUAUGGUGUUGUUUUAUUGGCACAGCGGUUACAUGUCCCCUGAAUAUGCAGUAGAUGGGAUGUUUUCGGUAAAAUCAGAUGUGUUUAGCUUUGGGGUAUUGGUGUUAGAGAUUGUGAGUGGCAAGAAAAAUAGAGGAUUUAUGCAUCAAGAUCACAACCUUAACCUUCUCGGUCAUGUAAGCACUGUUUAACCUGUAUUACACACACAACUCAUUUUUUUCUUUACAAAAAUAGAAUUUGUCAUGAUCCAUAUGAUCUAAACUCAUACAGGCAUGGAAGCUUUACAAAGAUGAUAGGUCCUUGGAACUAGCUGAUGAGCAGUUAGCUGAUUCUUGCAAUAUUUCUCAAGUUUUAAGGUCAAUUCAAGUGGGUUUAUUAUGCGUGCAACAACAUCCAGAUGAUAGACCAAGCAUGUCUUCUGUGGUUCAUAUGUUGGCUAAUGAGAGUCAACUGCCAAAAGCAAAAGAACCGGGAUUUUUCACAGAACGAAACAUAUUCGAUGAAGGAAAAUCCGGAUCGCAGACAAGAAGUUCAAAAAAUGAAUUCACAAUCACAAUGUUAGAUCCUCGGUAGGUGUGACAAAAUAACUAUUUAAACUUGUGUGUACAUGAAUAGGAAAGAUAUGUAAGAACUUAAAAUAAACAUCAGGUUGAAUUUUUCUACUUGAUUAUAUUAUCUACUUAUGCAUUGGAUCUUUUUAUCUAUUUCUGUUGUUCUUCGAAUACAUACUUUAGGUAUGUUCGUGUAUUGGAGAUAAUAGUGUAAUGCAGAUUUAGAGGCAUAAUUAUGUAUAUUCAAUUAGUUAGUUAAUUUGUUGAUUAGUUAGUUAAUUUGUUGAUCAGUUAGUUAGCAAUGCAAGUAGUUAGUUACACAAGUUAGUUAGGUGUCAGGCAGUAGAUUCCACAUGUAUAUAUAGUGGCAUACUUCAUCUUUUGUAAUACACUUUAUGAAAUACAAUCAGAAAUUCCCCAAAUUUGAUUCUCUCUACUCGAGUUUGAACAUUGUGUUUCUUAUAUAACAACAAAGACGAAGAAACUGAUUUCGAUAACCAAAUGGUCCCCAUUCAUAUUCACUAAAUCUGCUAUAAGGAAGCAAUAUAUUUUGAACAAUUCUAUAAGUGAAUAGAAAAUUAACUCAAAUGAUUGCCCAGGUAAUAUUAAUAUAGAAUGACUACAACACCAACUUUCCCCAAAUAUCAAAAUCAUCAAAGUAACAGCAAAGAACCAAUACCAAAGUAGAGUUUCUUGUAAAGGGAGAGGCGAUUGCCGGAGAUGGAGUCUGGAAAGAGAUAAUUCCGGAAGAUUAGCCUGAAAAAUCUACUUUGAGAAAUGGGAUCUAAGAACGAGCAAUUUUGUUGUAAACAUCCAAAGGGAAAAUAUGGAAUACUCACAUAUUUACUAUGCAAUUUUUUUUGUGUGGGUAAUUAUUGCUAUUUUUAUACUCUUUUUUUUUUAGUGUUUAGUGUAACUUUCUAUAUUGCUCUAUUUGGAUUUAAUGAAAUUUUCUUGGUAUUUAUGGUUAAAAAAAAGAAGCUUCCCACCAUUUCCCUCGAAUCUAAGGAAAAUAAGGUGUUAAAUAUUUGACUGAAACAUCACUUACAAAUUGAAGGACGUCCACUUGUCCAUUUCAUGUAGAUUAUGUUGACGUGAGCUAUAAAAUAUAAUAGUUUUGAAAUAAAAUGUGAAAUUAUUUUAUUUUUUAUUUGAUUGAAGGUAUUAGAUAAUUAAAUUAUUUAUUUUAUCAUUUAAAUUAUAAAUAAGUUAUUUCAUAUACAUACGUAUAAUAAUUUAUCUCAAAAUAAUUUAUUCCAAAAUAAUUAAUCAUAAAAUAAUUUAUUCCUGCCCAACAACCCCACUAAUAAUACUAGUUUUUCCUAACUUGCACGGCAAUUUCCUCUCUUGAUUCUUUGAGAGGUGGACCCAAUGAUUUAAAAGUGUUGGGAACAUCAUUAUUUUUAAUAUAAAUAAUAUAAACAUGUCAACUACUUGCUAUAAAUUUUGAGGUGAAUUCUCUGAAAACUGAAGAAAAAAACAACCAAACGAACUGGACUAUAAUUAAUAAAAUGUUUUAAAAAAUUAAAAUUUGAUACAUGCUAAAGUCGAAAAUCAAACCCAAGUAAGAUCAUUAAAUGUCCAUUUAUGCACGUCAAAUCAAGAGAAUUUUAUUAAUAUUUCUCCAUAUUAUCCUUAGUACUUUUAGAUAAUAUACAAAGUAAAAGUUGUUAGAUUAAAAGUUUUAAUAUACCAUUAAUAAAGUUAAUUUUGAUAUUAUGUAUUGGAGUUUUGCUUAAUUCGAUCUUACAGUUUUGUAUCGUGUAAAAUCAAUUUAAGGGAAAAGCUCUUUCUAACAGGAUUUUUGUCAUAUUUAAGACUCAAUCAGAAAUUUCGAAUUAAAAAUAAGAGAAUUUUAUCAUCAAUCCCAUCAUAAUCCUUAUUAAUCAUAUAUAUAAUUAGAUCCAUGCAAGGAUAAUCUUCAACGAAAACAAACAAUGUAUGCUUUCUUCUUAGCUUAUAUUCUGCAAUGGUGUAUUAAUUGCAUUGGUUGAGAUUUUUAGGAGUCCGGAUCCUAAAGGGCAAAAAAAAAUUGACAAAAAUUUCGAAAGGGCACAUCAAAUUUUUUUCUAAUCAAAAGGGCAAAAUUGUUAUUGACGUAGCGAUUUUGUUUGACGCCGUUAACAAAUCAAAAUCGCUGUCCUAUCAGCGAUUUUGUCCAACUUUUUUUUUUCUGAAAAUCGCUGCCCGUGCAGCGUUUUUGCGAUUUUAAAAAAAAAAAAAUUAAAAUCGCUGCUGUGGCAGUGUUUUUAUAAAAACAAAUUUAUUUUAUUUUUUUGAAAAUCGCUGCCUUGGCAGCGAUUUUCAUUUAUUUAUUUUUAAAUAACUGCUGUUGCAGCAUUAUUAUAAAUUUUGUGGAAUGUUUUUAUUUUUUUUAGAAAUCGUUACCAUGGCAGCGAUUUUGGUGGAAUUUUUUUUUUUUUUUUUGAAAUUUCUGUCAACUAGUCUAUCUAAUUGUAAAAGAAAAAAAAUAAUUUAAAAAUCGUUGCCUUGACAGCAAUUUUGGUGGAAUUUUUUUUUUUUUUUGAAAUUUCUGUCAACUAGUCAACAUCAUGUCGACUAGUUGACCAAAAAAAAUAAAAAUUCCACCAAAGAUUUAAAAAAAAAAUUAACGAAAAUCGCUGCCUUCCAAAAAAUAAAAUAAAUUUAUUUUUAUAAAAACGCUGCCACAGCAGCGAUUUUAAUUUUUUUAAAAAAAAUUCGCAAAAACACUGCACGGGCAGCGAUUUUCUGAAAAAUAUAAUUAAAAAAUUGUACAAAAUCGCUGAUAGGGCAGCGAUUUUGAUCUGUUAACGGCGUCAAAUAAAAUCGCUACGUCCCCUUUUGGUUAGAAAAAAAUUUGAUGUGCCUUUUGAAAUAUUUGUCAAUUUUUUUACCCUUUAGGCUCUGAACUCAAGAUUUUUAGCAAUAACUGAAGAUUUUCUUUUGUGGAAUUUUUUUUUUUUUUUAAUCUCAGUAUCAAAUAUCAGAGUGACAACUAACAAUAAUGGUUAGUAUCAAUCAGUUAUCACAUUCCUGAUUCAUCCUAUUUCACGUUAAAAGAGUUACUACUCCCUCCGUACCUUUUUAGUUGACUCAACUCAUAACCUAAAAAUCCUGACUCCACCGCUACCGUCCAUUAGAUGCUUUAAGUUGUGGUAUGGCAAACUUUGGAACCAAAAUCCAAGGCAAGACUAGUCAAAUAAUAUCAUCCAGAAAAGCGAGGUGGUGAUGGACUGACCAUAGCUUUCUGAUAUGGUAACGGAAUUCCUAUACUCAAAUAUUGAAAUGUAAACUUUGUCAAAAAGUAUUAUAAACUUCAAAUGACUGUCUAUAGCCGUCAUUGUUAACGACUAUUCAACUAGAAAUUAACAUGGUGCCGUGUCCAAAAAGGAUAUGAAGUAAAUACAAAUUUCAGAAUUUUAUAUGCCACUUUCCAGAAAUUAAACCACAGCAUAAUCUAUGGAAGCUAGUUUGUUCCUACUUUUUCUGUUGACUUUCUGCUCUUCUAUACACAGUAGUUUGUCUACAACAACAACCGACUUAAUCACUACAAAUCAAUUCAUCAUAGAUGGUGAAACUAUUGUUUCAUCCAGUGGAACCUUUGAGCUGGGAUUCUUCAACCCCAGCGGUUCCUCAAAUCGAUAUAUUGGGAUAUGGUACAAGCAAAUUCUUCCUUAUAUGCAAACAGUAGUAUGGGUUGCAAACAGAGAGAAACCUCUUACCAAUACAUCUUCAGUCAUUUUGAAGGUCACCGAACCGGGAAUACUUGCACUUCUCAAUGACAAGAAUAAAAUUAUAUGGUCUACUAACACCUCAAGAUCAGUCCACAAUCCAGUUGCAGUGCUUUUAGAUUCUGGUAAUCUUGUUGUAAAAGAUGCAAAUGAUGACAACCCAGAAAAUUUCCUCUGGCAGAGCUUCAAUUUUCCAACUGAUACACACUUGCCUGGUAUGAAGAUUGGCAAAAGUUUUAAAACUGGACAUGAGUUUUACCUUUCAUCAUGGAAGAACGAUAAUGAUCCAGCUCCAGGAGAAUUCACUCGUAGCAUUGAUCCUACAGGAUAUCCACAGAUUCUCACCAAAAGUGGGACAAAUGUAUUAUAUCGUGUAGGACCAUGGAAUGGUUUAAAAUGGAGUGGGGCACCCAUACCACUACUACAACAAAGCAGACUUUAUAGAUUUCAAUUUGCUUUCAAUGAGGAGGGGAUUUACUAUAUCUUUUCUCUCAUUAAUCACAGCUCGAUUUUAUCAAGAAUGGUCAUGACUAGCAACGGUGAUAUACAACGCUUCGUGUGGGUGGAUCAGACAAAGAGAUGGCAUAUUCACUACAGGUUACCUGCGGAUAAUUGUGAUACAUAUAGCUUGUGUGGUGUGUAUGGAAGGUGUGACAUAGAUAAUGAACCUAUUUGUGGAUGUUUGGAUAAGUUUGUACCUAAAUAUCCACAACAAUGGGCAAAGGGAGAUUGGACAACAGGGUGUGUUCGGAGGACACCCUUAGAUUGCAAAAGGGAACAUGUAUUUAUAAGAUAUCCUGGAAUCAAGUUGCCAGAUACUAAGCACUCUCAGAACAAUAAAACCAUGACACUCGAAGGGUGUAGGCAAGUAUGCUCCACGGACUGCUCCUGCACAGCUUAUUCAAGUCUAAAUAUAAGUAAUGGAAACAAAGGUUGCUUAUUAUGGUUUGAGGAAUUGGUUGACAUCAGAAAGAUGUCGGACACAGGACAAGACAUUUUCAUCAAGAUGGAUUCUUCAGAGCAAGGUAAGAACUUGUUUAAGAAAUUUCUCAUGAACUGUUUCUCAGCUUAGUUUUUCAACACAUUAAGAGUGUAUUAUUCAAAGUAAGAAGGGUGUCUUGAUUUGCAGUGACUGACUUAAAAAAUGUAGAAUCUGAGGCAGGUUCAAACAGAAAGAAGGCAAAAAUACUCGCAGUGAGUUUCUCAUUGUUGGUGGCAACGAUUCUGCUAAUCCUGAUUUUGUUGUGGUACAAACGGAAAAAGAAGAAACUGAAACUCAGAGAAGAUUUUGAGCUUCCACUGUUCCCAUGGUCGACAAUAACAAGAGCCACAAAUAACUUUUCGCUCAACAACAAAAUUGGAGAGGGUGGAUUUGGACCAGUUUACAAGGUAUACAAUGCAAAUUUGUUGAAACAGUAACUAGUUUAUGGCUUUAUGCUCAAGAUCAGAGUACUAGAGAUGAUUUUCAUUCUGCAAUAUUCUCGUCUUUGUAAAAUCUAUGUUCAGCUAUUAUACAUUUGCCAUUUCUAGGGAGUGCUGGAGGAAGGACAAGAAAUUGCCGUGAAGAGACAGUCAAGGACUUCCAUGCAAGGACUUGAUGAAUACACAAAUGAAGUUAUUUAUAUUGCCAAACUUCAGCAUCGAAAUCUUGUGAGACUUCUGGGUUGCUGCAUCCAAGGGGAAGAAAAGAUGUUGAUCUAUGAAUACAUGCCUAACAACAGCCUAGAUUCGUACAUAUUUGGUUUGGAUUUCUAACCUAUUACAGAAGCUAAAAUGAGUAAUAAUUAGAUCUAUUAGUCAUAACAUGAAAAAAUCUGCUCACAAGAAAGCUUAUUUUGCAGACCAAACAAAGAAUAAAUUGCUUGAUUGGCCAAAGCGUUUCCACAUCAUCAACGGAAUUGCUCGUGGUUUAUUGUAUCUCCAUCAAGAUUCUAGACUACGGAUUAUCCAUAGAGACCUUAAAGCAAGCAAUGUUUUGCUAGACAUAGAAAUGAAUCCAAAGAUAUCAGACUUUGGCAUGGCUCGAAGUGUUACAGGAAAUGAGAUGGGUGCAAAAACACGCAAAGUUGUUGGGACACAGUACGAAUCUCUAAUAUUUUACAGUGUACUCUCAUAUGACAUCUUGGUUCUUUAAUUCUCAUGGUGUUGUUUUAUUGGCACAGUGGUUACAUGUCCCCUGAAUAUGCAGUAGAUGGGAUCUUCUCGGUAAAAUCAGAUGUGUUUAGCUUUGGCGUAUUGGUGUUAGAGAUUGUGAGUGGCAAGAAAAAUAGAGGAUUUUCCCAUCAAGACCACAACCUUAACCUUCUCGGUCACGUAAGCAUUGUUUAACCUGUAUUACAUGCACAAUUCAUUUUUUCCUUUAGAAAAAUAGAAUUUGUCAUGACUCAUAAGAUCUAAACUCAAAUAGGCAUGGAAGCUUUACAAAGAGGAUAGGUCGUUGGAACUAGCUGAUGAGCAGCUAGCUUACUCUUACAACAUUUCUCAAGUUUUAAGGUCAAUUCAAGUGGGAUUAUUAUGCGUGCAACAACAUCCGAAUGAUAGACCAAGCAUGUUUACUGUGGUUCAGAUGUUGGCUAAUGAGAGUCUACUGCCAAAAGCAAAAGAACCAGGAUUUUUCACAGAACGAAAUGUAUAUGACGAAGGAAAAUCAGGAUCGCAGACAAGAAGUUCAAAAAAUGAAGUCACAAUCACAUUAUUAGAUCCUCGGUAGGUGUGACAAAAUAACAAUUUAAAUUUGUGUUCACAUGAAUAGGAAAGAGAUAUUAUGGCUAUUGUGAAAUAAAGUAGUAAUACUUAAAAUAAACAUCAAGUUGAAUUUUUCUACUUGAAGAUAUUAUCUACUUAUGGAUUGGAUCUUUUCAUCUAUUUGCAUUGUUCUUUGAAUAUAUUAUACUUUAGAUAUGUCACUUGUAUAACAACAACAAAGAAGAAGAAAGUGAUUUCAAUAAGCAAAUGCUGCCCAUUCAAAACCCUGUUAACAUGAGUCCAAAUUGUCGUUUCAUAUUCACUAAAUCUGCCAAAACGAAGCAAUAUAUUUUGAAAAAUUCAAGACACAGACAAGUCCUUAAAGGUUAAUACCACUCUAAUCAGAGAUAGAAAUAUGUGAAUGAUACCUCUACUGCUCUUCUUAAAUAAAGUUGAAUGCAAAAUUAACUCAAAUGAUUGCGCAGGUAAUGUAGAAUCACUCUAUCAACAAUUUUCCCCAAAUAUCAAAAUCUGAAAGUAGCAGCAAAGAACAACAUACCAAAAUUUGCAACUCUAGAGUAAAAAUGGGAGUUAAUAACUUUGAUGGUCGCUCAACUAUCAAUUCUUUUAAUAGAAAAUCACUCAACUUUCAUUUUUAACUCAAAAGUCAUUUAACUAUGAUUUCUUUGCAUAGAAAAUCACUCAACUUAUUUUAUUAUCUUUUUUCACUAAAAUUUGCUGACAUAGAAUUUUUAUUUUUAACCAAAAUUUUAAAAAUCAAAUACAUAUCCAUUUAAACCAUUUAAUGACCCGCCUCAUUUAACCCGACCCGCUAAAAAUAUGAUAUUAAACUUUUUAUUUUAUCAUUAGUUCCCCAAAUCAUUCUCUCUUGACUCCUUUUUCUCCUAGUGUUCUUCUUCUCUUUUGUUUUUUCUUUUUUUUUUUUAAAAAAAAACUCUAAAAACAAAUACAAGCCCUCAAAGGUGCCUGUUGGCCUUUGGAAUUAAAAUAAAAAUAAGAAUACAAGCCCUCAAAGGCUAAACAAACUUUUAUCUAUGAUAAACUCAAAAGCAAGACAAAAUUAUAAGAGUUGCUCUUUUUUGCGUUUUUUUUAUUUAUUUUGUUUUGCAUUCUGAUUUCUUGCCUAAUUAAUCUUGGCUUCUUUAGCUGUCAAGAAGUUUAAUAUUUAAUAGCUCCAACUUUCUUUUAUAUAUGUUAAUGGAAUGAAACCUUUUGUUUGUGUAUCUCCAACUUUUUCUUUAGCUGUCUGUAUAUUUAACAAGCCACUUUGAGUUCUUGUAUUUGUUUUUAGAGUUUAAAAAAAGUAUAAAAAAAAGAAAAAGAAGAAGAACACUAGGAGAAAAUUGAGACAAGAGAGAAUGUUUCGGGGAACUAAUGAUAAAAUAAAAAGUUCAAUAUCAUAUUUUUAGCGGGUCAGAUUAAAUGGGGCGGAUCAUUAAAUGGUUUAAAUGGAUAUGUAUUUGGGUUUUAAAAUUUUGAUUAAAAAUAAAAAUUUCAUGUUAGCAAAUUUUAGUGAAAAUAAUAAUAAAAUAGGAUGAGUGACUUUCUAUGCAAAGAAGUCGUAAUUGAGUGACUUUUGAGUUGAAAAUGAAAGUUGAGUGAUUUUCUGUGAAAAAAGUUAAUAGUUGAGUAACCAUCAAAGUUAUUAACUCUAAAAAUGGAGAAGUUGACUAGGAAGAGAAAAUUCCGAAAGAUUAGUUUUGAUGAUUUUUUUUUUUUUGGUUUCCACUACUUACUGUCUGCUACCCAAGAUAGAAGGGACUAUCGAGAUUUCUCCUUAAGCACGAAGAAGUAGUUGCUAAUUCACCACAUAUUUUUGAAGUUAUACUUGGAUAUAAGGGACCCUUUUUUUUUAAUUCUCUCUAUUGAAUAACUUUAUUCACUCUAACAAUUGGACUUUAGAUUUGUGAUAGAAGUCGAAUACGAUUAAGUAACUAGGGGAAAAAUAUACAAACUUUAGAGCGUCAAGUUAUACACAAAUCGGAGUGACUUUACUACUUGAAGAAAGAAAGCUGCUUCGGCAGGGUCGAAGAAGACGUGUAAGAUACCGAGGGGCCGAAGCUUCUUUAUAGUAAGGCGUCUGGAAACCUAAUUUUUGACUUUUUUAUCGUGUCUUAUGGGCAUGUUCACAGAGUAAAAGGCUCUUCAUGGCGCGAAUAGGCCGAUAGUCUUGAAGCGAGAAUUCUUAACUGUUCAUGUCGGCAGCUCUUCCUACCUCUAACUGUUCUCCUAACUGGGAAUUCAUCUUCAGAGCUAAGUCCCAAGAAGGCAUGUUGAAAUGUACGGACGUAAGUUAACGUCUCGUCCUACAAAUGAUAGCAAGGCCGCCCAUGGGAUGCACAAAAAAAUUAUUUUUACUACUUAUUCGUAACGGAGCUUUAAAUUGAGAGAAUAAUUUUAUUUUACUCUUUAGAUUUUUAGUGGAGUUUCAAUUUGAGAGUAAUUAAGAUAUGGUAAGAAGCUAAGUGAUAAUUUUGACUUUUUUAUUUGUAUCGGAGAAUUUUCAUAUACCACACCAAAAAGAAUUUUUGUUUCAUUUAAUUCUAAUAUAUUGUCAAUCAUUUAUGUUUUAGAAUAUAAGCCAUAACGAUGUAAUUUUGUCUAAACUCAUGUGGCAUUGUACCGACAAAAUGAUGAAUGGGUGAUGAUGUAAAAGAAUGAUUUUUCAAUGAAUUGUAUAUUUUUUUAUCAGCUAACACAUAAUUUAAAUAAGUCAUUUUGUGAAAAAAAAAUUUGAUUAUUCCUAUAGAAAAGAAGAAGAAGAUAUUGGUGAUAAAAAGUAGAUUAUUUAUUUUAUCAUGUUAUUUUUCUCCUAUCCGCUCAUCGCGAGGAAACGAGAUUAUUGUUUGAUGCUCAUUUAAUAAAAUAAAAUGUUGUCAAAGUUUGUAACCUUAAUGCUUAAAUAGUCGUCACUGGUCCCUAUAGUUAAACUAUAGUAAGUAUUAAAUUACUUGGGAGGAAAAAAGAAAUGAAAAAAUACAGAAAAACACAUCAAAUGGCUAUCAACUUCUUUAUUUAGAGCAAACGUUCGUAUAAUUAUUUCCCAACGGCUGAGGCCCUUUAUGGAUAAAUUAAUUGGGCCCUGCCAGACAAGUUUCCUAAAAAAUCGACAAGCCUCGGAUAAUGCCAUCAUCAUCCAAGAAAUCAUUUCCCACUUCGGAAAAAUGAAAGGGAAGAAGGCAAACCUAAUUCUAAAAACAGACCUCGAGAAAGCUUUUGACAAAAUAGAAUGGUCCUUAAUCAGAGAAACUCUUAUCUAUUUUCACUUCCCUCGUAACAUUAUAAACCUUAUCCGUGUGUUACGACAAGUAAAAUAUCGAUCCUAGUCAAUGGAAAUAAAACAGAAUUCUUUGAACCAUCAAGGGGGAUAAGACAAGGGGAUCCACUAUCACCAUACCUCUUUAUCCUCUGUAUGGAAAUCCUAUCUAGGAAAAUAGAUCAGGAGGUCCAACUGAAAAACUGAUCUCCAAUAAAAAUAUCCCACAAAGGGCCCUUGAUAUCACACUUAUUUUUUGCAGACGACCUAGUACUGAUGAGUAGAGCUAAUAAAGCCAACUGUAAGUGUAUUCUGAAAAUAAUGAAAGACUUCUGCGAAUCCUCUGGACAAGUAGUAAACACGAGCAAAUCAAAACUAAUAUUCUCCAAAAAUUGUCCUGACAAUACAAGCAACAUGAUAUCCAAGAAGCUGAACAUAAAAAAAGGCAAUCAUUUUGGAAAAUACUUAGGCUUCCCAAUUAUGCACAAAAGAAGCUCAAACAACGACUUCCAAUUCAUUAUUGACAACCUCCAAUCGAAACUAGCAGGAUGGAAGACAAAAUUUCUUAAUCUAGCAGGAUGCACUACCUUAGCAAAAGUCUGUCUAAAUAAUAUUCCCACUCAUAUCAUGCAAAUGAUAAAAUUACCAAGAACUAUCACACAAAAAAUUGAUCAAAUACAACAUAAUUUCAUCUGGGGAUCCACUAGUGAGAAAAGGAAAUUACAUAUGGUUAAAUGGAAAGUAGUAACCUCCAAAAAAAAUGAAGGAGGAUUGGGCAUCCAAAGAUCAGAAACAAAAAAUUUAGCCCUCCUAUCUAAAUUAGCUUGGAGAGCUUUUCAACAACCAAAUUUGCCAUGGGCCUCAAUUUUACUAAGGAAGUAUUCCAGCAAUAUGAAAUUAGAUAAGGAUACCAAAGCCAACAGUACACAUAGCAAACUCUGGAAAGAUAUGCUAACAGGCUGGAAUAUAUGCAGAAAAGGCAUGGGAUGGGUUCUGGGAGAUGGAAAGUCGACAUCCUUCUGGUACGAUGUUUGGCUACCAAAUGGGAAAACAAUUAGGGAACAAAUACAGGGCCCCCUUAGAAAAAAAGAAAAUAACAUUAGAGUGGGAGAAGUAAUUCUAAAGAACAACAUUCUGAACUUAAACGUAAUAACCUUUGAGCUCUCGAAAGAUAUCCUCCUACAAAUAAAUUAUACAUACAUAUCCCAUAACAGAAAAGAUAAGGCUAUGUGGAGGCCAAGCCCUCGAGGAACACUAUCAAUGACCUCCGUAUAUAAAAUGCUAGCAGAACAAGAUAAGACCAUUACUUCUGAUAGCUUCAGUUGGAUAUGGCCCCUUUACUGCCCAAACAAAAUAAAAUACUUCAUUUGGCUAUGCCAACAUAAAAGAUUACCUACUCGAAAGUAUUUACAUUCUAUAGGAAUAAAGAUUGACCCACUAUGCCACAUAUGUAACAAAAUGGAGACAAUAGAACAUAUUUUUGUAGAAUGCUAUACCGUAAGAAAAAUGUGGAAAAGUUUCAAAGUGCUACAAUCCAUAAAUUAGGUUGGAAAUACCCAAGGGAGUGAUUGGCUAAACAUCAUUAAAAACCUCCAAGUACUUUUAAACACAAAAUACAUUAGCUAGAAAGAGGGAUUCCCCUUCUUCCUAUGGAACAUAGGGCUCAAGAGGAAUGAAAAGUACCACCAGAACACUAAAACUAACAUCUGCACGAAAAAAAUUCUUAACCAAGCCAUCGAGUUCUACACCCUUACGGGAAACACUUGCCUAAAGGAAAAAACGAUCAAAACUUUGAUCAGAUGGAUUCCUCCUAUACAAGGCUACUAGUUGAAUACUGAUGGAUCCUCAAAAGGAAACCCAGGCAAAAGCGGAAUAGGUGGAGUCAUAAGAGACACCAAAGGAGAAUGGAUAGUAGGCUUCGUAGGAAAUCUCCAUCUGGCAAAUAACAUUAGAGCAGAAUUAACAGCACUUAUACAGGGGCUCAAAUUGGCAUUAAUCAGAGGUCUAAUGCCAUUAGAGAUCAACAUAGAUUGCAAGGAACUCAUAAGCAUCAUAAAUAAUGAUCACCCUUCCUACACUAACAUGCUUCUUGAUUGCAGGGAUCUGCUGCGCAGGCUGGGGAGCCCCCCAAUCCACCACUCGUUUAGGGAGACUAAUAGGGUGGCAGAUGCACUAGCAAGGGAAGGAUAAAAAACAGUCCAAGAUAACUCCUUUUUGUGCUUGGUUGUUCCUCCGGUGUUUGUCUCAGAAGCGCUGGAAACAGACAAUGAAGGAACAUUUUUGUUAGAUUACAAAAGCCAAUAUUAGCUCCUAAUGUAUGUAAUAGCUACAAUGCUGCUGAAUCCUCCCUUACGUUACUAAGCGAGCGUACUGCUCUGCCCAUCUCAUGUAAUGAUGCAUAUUAAAUUGUUAAUAUAAGUAUCUUGAGUUAAUACCUCAGAUGGUCACUCAACUAUGCACUUUUCUCUCAGAAAGUUACUCAACUAUGCACUUUUCUCUCAGAAAGUCACUCAACUUUCAAUUUUCACUCAAAAGUCACUCAACUAUGCACUUCUUUCUCAGAAAGCCACUCAACUUUGAAUUUUAACUCAAAAGUCACUCAACUAUCCACUCUUUCCUCAGAAAGUCACUCAAUCUAUUUAAUUGUUUUUUAAUUACAACUUGUUGAUAUUGAUUGUUUAUAUAACAAAUCAAAAUUUUAAAAAAUAAAAACUAUCAUUUAAACCAUUUAGUGAUCCACCACCUAACCCGACCCAUUAAAAAAUAUAAUAUGACCCAUUUUAUUUUGCCUUUAAUCCUAAAUUUAAACAAUUAAUAUCAGUAAAUUUUAAUUAAAAAAUUUAAUUAAGGAUUAGUUUAAAUGAUAAAUUUUUGCCUGUUACGUUAGGAUUAGUUUAAUAUCAGCAAAUUUUAAUUAAAAAUUUUAAUUAAGGAUUAGUUUAAAUGAUAGAUUUUUGCCUGUUACGUUGCUGAUUUGUUUAAAUUGAUCUCGUUUAAUAUCAGUAAAUUCCUUAAUUUUACUUAGACUUGUCAGAAUGUUUAAAUUUAGGAUUAAAGGCAAAAUAAAAUGGGUCAUAUUAUUAUUUUUAAUGGAUCGGGUUAGGUGGGUGGAUCACUAAAUGGUUUAAAUGAUUAUUUUUAUUUUUAAAAUUUUGAUUUGUUAUAUAAACAAUUAAUAUCAGCAAAUUUUAAUUAAAAAAACAAUUAAAUAGAUUGAGUGACUUCCUGAAGAAAGAGUGGAUAAUUGAGUGACUUUUGAGUUAAAAUUCAAAGUUGAGUGACUUUCUGAGAAAGAAGUGCAUAGUUGAGUGACUUUUGAGUGAAAAUUAAAAGUUGAGUGACUUUCUGAGAGAAGAGUGCAUAGUUGAGUGACCAUCUGAGAUAUUAACUCUAAGUAUCUUGCUUUUACCAAAAAAAAAAAAAAAAACUUUAACAAAAUUAGGUUCUCCAUCAAUCCUGAAUUUUAGUAAGUAAAUCUUACGAUUGUUUUUGUACAAUUCAAACUUUCAAAACUGACUGUACAAGAGUUCAAUAUUUACACAAAUGAAGUUAAUCAAUUUCUUUUGAAAUUUAAACUUCUAGAGUUUGGCCUCAAUUAGUAUUUCAAUAUUUUAAUUAAAUGCAUGUGAGACUAAUACAUUAAUCUUUCUAAAUUCUAAUUCAUAAACUAAGAUUAUUCAUACUAUAUUACAAUAAUAUCAAUUAUAAUAAAAUCUUGUCUUCCAACACAAGAUUCACGUUCCAACGUAUAUUACGAGUCUACCAAUUUUAGUGACUUCCAAAUAUGAAUUUAAGAGUGAGGUUGGACGUGUGGUCCUCCAUUUAUAUCACUUACAAAUACAAAUUGAAGGAAGUCCAUUUCAUGUAGUUUACUAUCACAUGAAAGUUAAACUACUUUUUCCCAACUCGCACGGCAAUUUCCUUCUCUUCUUUGAGAGAAGGAAUUACGAGUGUCGGGGGCAUAACUAUCUUUAAUAUAAAUAUUCUGUUUUUCCUUCGGAUAGUAUAGACAUAUCAAUUUCAAUACAAAAUUUGAGGUGAACUCUUUGAAAACUAAAGAAAAAAAAAGAAAUUAAGAGAAAACUGGACUAUAAUUACUAAAAUGUCAAAAAAUUAGAAUUCCUUUGAAAAGUUGCUAGUCAAAAAUCGAACCUAGGUAAGAUCACCAAAUGUCCAUCCAUAAUCAUACCGUAUUUUGUUGAAUUUUGGAUGAGAUCAGCCAAGAAACUUAGAUUUCAAAGUAGGGAGUAGUUGAAGUCUCCCUUCUGCAGUGACUGCAACAUUGAUUGUAGAGAUUGAUGGUUAAUGUAGAAUAACGUUUUAAGAUAUUUACUCGACAAAUUAUCUCAGAUCGAUAAUGACUAGUAGAAAUAAACAAUAUUAGUAAAUGCCGUGUCCCAAAGGCAUGUCAAUUGUCAAGUAGUAGUAAUUAACACAAUUUAAUUCAUGAGUGUGAAACAACACCUGAAGUCUAAAAUCUAACUAUUGUGGAUGAUAUAUAGGCCACACAACUUAAACUUAGGCAUCAAGGCAUAGUAAAUGGGAACUAUUUUCUUCCUACUAAUUUUCCUACUGUCUUUCUACUAUUGUAUACCCAAGAUCAUUUCCACUACAACAAAUGUAAUCACGACAAAUCAGUCAAUUGCAGAUGGUGAAACUGUUGUUUCAUCAGGUGGAACCUUUGAGCUGGGAUUUUUCAGCCCCAAUGAUUCUACAAAGCGAUACAUUGGGAUAUGGUACAAACAAAUUCUUCCUCAUAUGCAAACAGUUGUAUGGGUUGCAAACAGAGAGAAACCACUCACCAAUACAUCUUCAGUCGUUUUGAAGGUUAACAAGUGGGGAAUACUUGCUCUUCUCAAUGGCAAGAAUGAAAUGAUAUGGUCCACGAACACCUCAAGAUCAGUCCAAAAUCCAGUUGCAGUGCUUUUAGAUUCUGGUAAUCUUGUUGUCAAAGAUGCAAAUGAUGACAAUCCAGAAAAUUUCCUCUGGCAGAGCUUCCAUUUUCCAACUGAUACGCACUUGCCUGAAAUGAAGCUUGGCAAGAAUUUUAGAACUGGCCAUGAGGUUUACCUUUCAGCAUGGAAGAACGAUAAUGAUCCAGCUGCAGGUGAAUUCACACGUCACAUUGAUCCUACUGGAUAUCCACAAGCCCUCAUCAAAAGUGGCACAAGUGUAGCGGCUCGUAUAGGGCCAUGGAAUGGUUUACGAUGGAGUGGAUCACCCAUACCACUACUAGAAUGCUGCUUUUUUCAAUUUAUUUUCAAUGAGGAGGAGGUUUACUAUAGCUUUUCACUCAUUAACAGCUUGGACUUAACAAGACUAGUCCUGACUAGCAAUGGUUAUAUACAACAUUUAAAGUGGGUGGAUUGGACAAAGAGAUGGCAUAUUUACUACAAUUUACCAGCGGAUUAUUGUGAUACACAUAGCCUAUGUGGUGCCUAUGGGAGCUGUGAUAUAGAUGAUACACCGGUUUGUGGAUGUUUGGAAAAGUUUGUAGCUAGAUAUCCACAACAAUGGGAAAAGGGAGAUUGGUCUGAAGGGUGUGUUCGGAGGACACCCUUAAAUUGCAAAAAGGAACAUGUAUUUAUAAAAUAUUCUGGAAUCAAAUUGCCAAAUACUAAGUACUCUCAGUAUAAUAAAACCAUGACACUCAAAGGGUGUAGGCAAGUAUGCUCCAGGAACUGUUCUUGCACAGCUUAUUCAAGUCUAGAUAUAAGCAACGGAGACAAAGGUUGCUUGUUUUGGUUCGGGGAAUUGAUUGACAUCCGAAAGCUGUCUGAAAGAGGGCAAGACAUUUACAUCAAGAUGGAUUCUUCAGAGCGAGGUAAUAACUUGUUUAAGAAAUUUCCCAUGAUGUGUUUCUUACACUUAGUGGCCUAUCUCGAUUUACCAUGGCUGAUUUAAGAAAUUUAUUGCAGAAUCUGAGGCAGGUUCAAAAAGAAAUAAGGCAAUGAUACUCACACUCAUGAGUUUCUCAUUGUUGAUGGCAAUGAUUCUGCUAAGCCUGAUUUUUUUGUUGCACAAACGGAAAAAGAAGAAGAAACUGCUACUCAAAGAAGAUUUUGCGCUGCAAAUGUUCCAAUUGUCGACAUUAACAAGAGCCACAAAUAACUUUUCGCUCAACAACAAGAUUGGAGAAGGUGGAUUUGGAGCUGUUUACAAGGUAUAUAGAUCAAAUUUGUUUGUAAAGUAACUAGUUUAUGCUCAAGGUUAGAGUGUUGGAGAAGAUUUUAAUUUUGCAAUGUUCUCGUCUUUGUAAAAUCUCUGCUUUGCUAUUAUACAUUUUGUAAAGAAAUGAACCUUGCGUAACUCAACCCCAAAAGCGAGCAUUGCCCAAACCAUAUAAAGAGUCCAAAUUCUCCUCAUCCCACCAACGUGGGACUCAAAGACCCCGUCUCACACUGGACAUCUAGAGAACAAUUAAUAUGGGGGCCCAACAUCGGUAAACCAUAAAUUGGGAUGGGCUUAGCUCUAAAACCAUGUAAUGAAAUGAACCUUGGGCUUAACUCAACUCAAAUGCUAGCUUAUGAGGGGAGGAUUGCCCAAGAUCAUAUAAGGAGUCCAAAUUCUCCUCAUCCCACUGAUGUGGGACUCUAACACAUUUGCCAUUUCUAGGGAUUGCUGGAAGAGGGGCAAGAAAUUGCCGUGAAGAGACUGUCAAGGACUUCCAUGCAAGGAAUUGAUGAGUACAAGAAUGAAGUUAUCUAUAUUGCCAAGCUUCAACAUCGAAAUCUUGUGAGACUUCUGGGCUGCUGCAUCCAAGGGGAUGAAAAGAUGUUGAUCUAUGAAUACAUGCCAAACAGAAGCCUGGAUUCGUACAUAUUUGGUUUGGAUUUCUAACCUACUACACAAGAUAAAAUGAGUAAUACUUUGAUCUAUUAGUCAUAACCUGAAAGAAACUGCUAACGAGAAAACUUAUUUUGUAGAUCAAACAAAGAAAAAAUUACUUGAUUGGCCAAAGCGUUUCCACAUCAUCAAUGGAAUUGCUCGUGGCUUAUUAUAUCUCCAUCAAGAUUCUCGACUACGAAUUAUUCACAGAGACCUUAAAGCAAGCAAUGUUUUGCUAGAUAUAGAAAUGAAUCCAAAGAUAUCAGACUUUGGCAUGGCCAAAAGUGUUACAGGAAAUGAGAUGGGAGCAAAAACACACAAUGUAGUUGGGACAUAGUAAGAAUCUCUAAUAUUAUACAAUGUACUCUCAUAUGACAUCUUGCUUUAAUUCUCAGGGUGUUAUUUUGUUGGCACAGUGGUUACAUGUCCCCAGAAUAUGCAAUAGAUGGGAUCUUCUCGGUAAAAUCAGAUGUAUUUAGCUUUGGCGUCUUGUUGUUAGAGAUUGUGAGUUGCAAGAGAAAUAGAGGGUUUGUCCAUCAAGAUCACAACCUUAACCUUCUCGGUCAUGUAAGCACUGUAUAACCUUUAUUACACACACAACUCAUUCUUUUCUUUACAGUAAUGGAAUUUGUCAUGAUUCAUAACAUCUAAACUCAAACAGGCAUGGAAGCUUUACAAAGAAGAUAAGUCUUUGGAACUAGUUGAUGAGCAGCUGGCUGAUUCUUGCAAUAUUUCUCAAGCUUUGAGGUCAAUCCAAGUGGGUUUAUUAUGCGUGCAACAACAUCCAGAUGAUAGACCAAGCAUGUUUUCUGUGGUUCAGAUGUUGGCUAAUGAGAGUCUACUUCCAAAAGCAAAAGAACCGGGAUUUUUCAUAGAACGAGACGUAUUUGGUGAAGAGAAAUCAGGAUCACAGACAGGAAGUUCAAAAAAUGAUGUCACAAUCACAUUGUUAGAUCCUCGGUAGAGUGUGACAAAGUAACUCUUUUUAGUGGCGGAGACAUGAUUUGGGGGUUCAAAAUAUAAAAUAGUAAACAAGCAAAAAACAAUUGAUGAUAAACGGAGGGGCUAACCUUAAUCCACUACAUUUUAGCUCGCCUUGUCAUGCCUUGCUCCAUUGAGCCAUUCUAAAAAAUUCUUAUGCUUUUUUUCUCUUUUCACUUUGCAGUGUUUAGACCUUUUUUUUCUUUCAUCUGAAUUAGUGCAACUCAUUUUGAUGUCAAUAAACUGCAUUCACCCCAAAAAGUAGUGAGUGCAUUCUUUUACGUCACAUAAAUUGUCAUAUUGCAUUAUACCCCUAGUAAAAUCAUAUAAAAUUCUCAACAAAAUCAAUUUUUGAGAAAGAAUCAUAUUUUCUUAGAAUAAACUAUUUCAAUAACCAAAUGUUGACCAUUCAAAACCCAGCAUAACGUGAGGCCAAAAGACUUUUCACUAACUCUGCUAAAAUGAAGCAAUAUAUUUUGAACCAUUUCAAAACCCAGAGAAGUCCUUAAAGGGUGAGACCACUCUAAUCAGAGAUAAAAAUAUGUAAUGAUACCUCAAAUGAACUGCGCAUUUUCCACUAGCGAAAGACACCUGCUCUCUAAUUUCUAUUCUUUGUUAUUUGUAUCGAACUUAUAUGUUCCAAAGGCGAAAGUCAUUCUUCUGAUUCAAUAGAGCGAUAACUACACUACCCUCUCGAGUUAUUUCAUUUUUUUUUUUAAUGAAAAUUGGAAUCAAUCAGAAAGAAACUUUGAUAUACCAACUAUAAAUUAUUAUUAUUUUUGUAAAGAACAAAUAAGAAAAGCCAGAAUGAAAUCAGAUUCGUUUCUUCUUAAAUAAAGUUUAAUCUAUAAGUGAAUGCCAAUUAACUCAAACGAGUACACAGGUAAUGUAGAAUCACUCCACCAACAAUUUUCCCCAAAUAUCAAAAUCAUGAAAGUAGCAGCAAAGAACUGAAGAAGUAUACCAAAAUAUGGAGCCCUAGCGUUACAACGGAGCGGCGACUGCCGGAGAUGGAGUCUGGAAAGCGCCAUUAAUUUGUGGCUUAAAGCUUCGUCCCUGUGACGAAAACAGAGCAACAGUGAAAAACAUUAUAUUUAUUUAUAUAUAAAAUAUGAAAAAGAAACGGAAAAGCUAAAAAAAAAAAUGUCCCUUAAUUUAAUAGUCCAAAAAUGUACCAUUAAUAAUUUGAUCCAAAAAUAAAUAUAAAAUUUUCAUUUCGGUAAUUUUAACAAAAAAGAUCAUACUCCCUCUGUUUACAAAAGAAUCACCUCAUUUCCUUUUUAAUUUGUUUAAAAAAAGAAGAAUGACUCUUUUAUUUUUUGAUAAUAAUUUAAUUUUAAUUUUACACAUGACAUAUCUAAGGCUACAAGAUCAAAAAAUAUUUUGAUAUAUUUGACGUAAUUUUAAUUUAGAACUACAAAAUUAAAAAGUUUUUUAUUUGCUUAAAUUUUGUGUCAAAUCAUAUUAAGUCAUUCUUUUUUAUAUAGAAGAAGAAUAUAUUGAUGGGUGAUCUAGGUGAAAUAUAAAAAAAAUCAGUAAAUUUUGAGUAAUAAAAUAAAGUUGAUUAGUUUUUUAAGUGAACUAUCCUGAUUUCUACGUUGUUCAGUGACACCAUAUAAGAUAUUAUCUCCGACUUUAUUAAGACUUAGGCCCGUAUGUCGCUCACUCGCUUGUAUUCUCCCCAAAAGUCAGGUCUUUUUGGAAUGGACAUAGACUUCUUAUACUAAUUAAUUGCGCAGAAAAUGACAUAUCAUAUUAACAUCACAAUCAUGAAAUUUCUAUCUUGUUUUCUUCCUAAAUGGUCCAUUUUUUUUUAAUUAAAUGUUGCCGUUGUCCAGACGCUGUUUUUAAAAAAUGAAAAUUUACAUCUUUUUUCUUCUUUUUCUUUCAGAGCCUGUUAAGUGUGAAAAACUAUAAAUAUUCAAAAACGUGCUACGGAAUUUCAACACUGCAACAUCACAUUAAGUGAAAUUUGUCUCUAAAGACAAAAUCAUAGUCAAUCAAUAGGCGACCAAAGACUUAGGCAACAUCAAUAAUGGACGCUAGCUAGUUUCUUGUAUUGUCUUUCUACUCUUCUUUUUCCAAAAUGGGAACGGAGUUUCUCAAUUCCAAUUUUUUAUGUAAAAUUUGUUUAAGAGCCUUACAAACUUCAACUGCCCUUCUACAACCGCCAUUGUUAACGACUAUUCAAACAGAAUAAAUAUGGUGCCAUGUCCCAAAGGAUCAUAUGGAAUAAAUGCAAAUUUCAUAAAUGUAUAGCUGAUCAAACACUUAGACCUCAAGGCAUAUCUAUGGAAACUUGUUUCUUCCUACUUUUUCUGUUGACUUUCUGCUCUUCUAUACGCAAUAAUUUUUCUACAAACUUAAUCACUACAAAUCAAUCCAUCAUAGAUGGUGAAACUAUUGUUUCAAACGGUGGAACCUUUGAGCUGGGAUUUUUCAGCUCCAGCGGUUCCUCAAAUCGAUAUAUUGGGAUAUGGUACAAGCAAAUUCUUUCUCAUGUACAAACAGUUGUAUGGGUUGCAAACAGAGAUAAACCACUCACCACUACAUCUUCAGUCGUUUUGAAGGUCACCAAGCCGGGAAUACUUACUCUUCUUAACGACAAGAAUGAAACUAUAUGGUCCACUAACACCUCAAGAUCAGUCCAGAAUCCAGUUGCAGUGCUUUUAGAUUCUGGUAAUCUUGUUGUAAAAGAUGCAAAUGUUGACAAUCUAGAAGAUUUCCUCUGGGAGAGUUUCAAUUUUCCAACGGAUACGCACUUGCCUGGUAUGAAGCUAGGCAAGAAUUUUAGAAUUGGACAUGAGGUUUACCUUUCAGCAUGGAAGGAAGAUAAUGAUCCCGCUCCAGGUGAAUUCACUCGUACCAUCGAUCCUACUGGAUAUCCACAGUUACUCACCAAACGUGGCCCAAGUGUAUCAGCUCGUAUAGGACCAUGGAAUGGUUUACGAUGGAGUGGGUCCCCUAUACCUCUACUAGAAUGCUGCCAUUUCCAAUUUGGUUUCAAUGAGGAGGAGGUUUACUAUAGCUAUACACUCAUUAACAGUUCGACUAUAACAAGACUAGUCCUGACUAGCAGCGGUUAUAUACAACGUUUGACGUGGGUGGAUCGGACAAAGAGAUGGCAUAUUUACUACAAUUUACCAGCGGAUAAUUGUGAUACACAUAGCUUAUGUGGUGCCUAUGGGAGCUGUGACAUAGAUAAUACUCCGGUUUGUGGAUGUCUGGAAAAGUUUGUAGCUAAAUAUCCACAACAAUGGGAAAGGGGAGAUUGGUUAGAAGGGUGCGUACGGAAGACACCUCUAGACUGCAACAAGGAACAUGUGUUCAUAAAAUAUUCUGGAAUCAAGUUGCCGGAUACUAAGCACUCUCAUUACUAUAAAACAAUGACACUCGAAGACUGUAGGAAGGUAUGCUUCAGGAACUGCUCUUGCACAGCUUAUUCAAGUCUAGAUAUAAGCAACGGAGACAAAGGCUGCUUACUAUGGUUUGGGGAAUUGAUUGACAUCAGAAGGCUGUCUGAAAGAGGACAAGACAUUUACAUCAGGAUGGAUUCUUCAGAGC
rnacentral:lncRNA from 1 species